rnacentral:rRNA from 1 species
AAUCAACGCUGGCGGCGUGCCUAACACAUGCAAGUCGAGCGCGAAAGGGGAGUAAUCCCCAAGUAGAGCGGCGAACGGGUGAGUAACGCGUGGGUGAUCUACCUCCGAGUGGGGAAUAACCCCGGGAAACUGGGGCUAAUACCGCAUGACAUCCCUGAGUCACAGUUGGGGAUACAAAGGCCGGGGGACCGCAAGGCCUGGUCGUUUGGAGAUGACGCCCGCGUCCGAUUAGCUAGUUGGCGGGGAACGCCCACCAAGGCUUCGAUCGGUAGCCGGCCUGAGAGGGCGGACGGCCACACUGGGACUGAGACACGGCCCAGACUCCGUACGGGAGGCAGCAGGUGGGGUAAUUUUUCGCAAG